CUGAAGAAUUUUCCAGACGCCAUUUUCCAUUUGAGGUUUAGAACAGCAACUGCAAACUAGCGAGGGAAUCCCCGGAGCCGCCUAACGUUAGCCUACUCUGUCCGGCUGCUAACGGCAACACAGGACGGUUUCCAUAAGCUCUGGAGAGUUUCUAAAACAUAUCUGCCACAGUUCUCUAUCCAAUAACACAAGACCCUGUGACGGUGGCUGAUUAGAGACGGAU